rnacentral:rRNA from 1 species
GUCGAGAGGCUUCGGCAAUGGGGGAAACCCUGACCGAGCGACGCCGCGUGGGGGAUGAAGGCCUUUGGGUUGUAAACCCCUUUCGACCGGGAAGAAAGAUCCUCGGGUGAACAAUCCGAGGACGUGACGGUACCGGUGGAAGAAGCUCCGGCUAACUCCGUGCCAGCAGCCGCGGUAACACGGGGGGAGCGAACGUUGUUCGGAAUCACUGGGCGUAAAGGGCGUGUAGGCGGUCCGGUAAGUGAGAUGUGAAAGCCCCCGGCUCACCCGGGGAACUGCAUCUCAUACUGCUGGACUUGAGUGCGGGAGAGGAUGGGGGAAUUCCUGGUGUAGCGGUGAAAUGCGUAGAUAUCAGGAGGAACACCGGUGGCGAAGGCGCCCAUCUGGCCCGUUACUGACGCUGAGGCGCGAAAGCUAGGGGAGCAAACGGGAUUAGAUACCCCGGUAGUCC